rnacentral:rRNA from 1 species
UACGUAGGGUCCGAGCGUUGUCCGGAAUUACUGGGCGUAAAGAGCUCGUAGGUGGUUUGUCGCGUUGUUCGUGAAAACUCACAGCUCAACUGUGGGCGUGCGGGCGAUACGGGCAGACUAGAGUACUGCAGGGGAGACUGGAAUUCCUGGUGUAGCGGUGGAAUGCGCAGAUAUCAGGAGGAACACCGGUGGCGAAGGCGGGUCUCUGGGCAGUAACUGACGCUGAGGCACGAAGGUCAGGGGAGCAAACGGG